rfam:Ictidomys tridecemlineatus contig029727, whole genome shotgun sequence.
UGGGGUGUGGCUUAAUGGUAUAGCGCUUGCCUAGCAUGUGUGAGGCACUGGGUUCAAUACUCAGCACCACAU